rnacentral:lncRNA from 1 species
UCUAGUACCUGUAGUACUUGAAUACGAUCAGCAUCCAGCUUUGUCAACAACUUAGAAGCAGAAUCCAGAACUUUUCCAAUAAAUUAAGGAUCCUGAGAUGAAGAGAUGAUCCUGGAUUAUCCAGGUGCACCCAAUGUAAUCCCAAGUGUCCAGAUAAGAAAGAAGCAGAAAAGUCAGAGUCAGAGAAGGAGAUGUGACCAUGGAAGCGGGGUCCUACUUAUGUGACUGAAGAUUGAGAAAGGGCCGGGAGCCAAGGAAUACAGAUCUGGACUAUCUACACUGGGGAUAUGACUGCGGUAGCAAUAUGAAAGAUACAUGCCACAGAGGAAGAAUACCAGCA